AGCAGGUGCUUGGACAAGCCCUGCUAAGUGAGCUAAUUAUUUCAGGAUUUCUCUAAUCCACAGACCCAGACAUCACCCUUUGUUGUUUUGAAGGGGAUUUGGAGAUAUUCAGGGACCUCUCCGAACAAAAUUAUGGAGUCGAUGUUGAUGCGGGCGCUGAUGCCGCUGUGGACCUUGGUCCCCUCCCCCUCCAUCUGCAAGCCUCCCUCCCCCGGGGCUCCUGUCAAUUCCAGCCAAAUUCACUGCUAACGGCUCUCGCGACUGGCUGCACGGUGCAGGGGGCCUGUGUUUUAAUGAAUUGAGGCUCUACUGGGAAAGAGACUGCACGUGUCUGAGGACUUCUCAGACCCCAUCACCUGGACAAAGGGACUUUUAAGAGAGGCCGUCAUUACCCAGGGCCUGAGGGGCUGACACUAUGGAUACUGUGGAUAAGGAAGCAGCUGGAUACUUUGCUUCACUCCUUGUAGGGACUUGAUCCUGCCUCCUGUGAAGAGUGACACCAGUGAGGUCAAGAGAACUGAGAGCCAUAGACCAUUAGGUAUGCGAACCAUACUCAACCUGUUCUCCCUGGGAGAGAAGGUGAUCCAAAGGACUCAGAGAACUUCUGGAACUUCUGGAAGCCAUGCCUUUACAUCUCCCCAAAGCCACAAAGUGAACUCUAUGGUCACACCCUGUUGCCCCCACAGAGGACUCAUGCAGACGUUGAACAAGCUCGCCACCCCUUGAUACAAUAGCUCAAGCUGCAAUGGGGGCUCUGACCCUCAGAGAAAUGGUACAUCACAUCCAAUGGCAGGGGACCAUCUGCUUGUCUCCUCUGCUUUGACUGUGUGGCCACCCAGGUAGGAUGAGAAUGUCCAAAACAAGGAAGGCCAGAAGGUUGGCUUGUCCAUGUUGGCCACUCACCAAGUCAGCCAAACACAGAAGUAUUCUUGGUUACAUGGGAAGCAAAGGUGCCCUAUAGAUGUAGUUUUCCUGGUCCUGCCUGGCCCACGGUCAGGACAAAUCUCUUUCACCCACCAGUCCCACAUCUGCUUAGACCCAACUGAGUAAACACACAGAGACUUAUAUUGCUUGCAAACUGUAUGGCCGCAGCAGGCUUCUUGUUAUCUAGUUCUUCUAUUUUAAAUUAACCCAUUUCUAUUAGUCUAUAAGUUGCCACGUGGCUCGUGGCUUAUUGGUACCUUACAUCUUGCUUGUCAUGGUGGAGGCUGGCAGUGUCUCUCUUGACUCAGCCUUCCUGUUCCCAGAAUUCUCCUCUCUCCUUGUCCCAUCUAUACUUCCUGCCUGGCUACUGGCCAAUCAGUGUUUUAUUUAUUAACCAAUCAGAUCAACACAUUUAACAUACAGAACAUCCCACAGUAGUGCCCUAGUCAGAAAUGGAGUUGCUGGCAGCCCAUGAUAAGCUUCCAUCAAAACUCUCUGGCUGGUGCCCACAGGCUCUGGUUUAACCCACACGCUGGUGAAGAAUUAUUCCACAAUUCAGAAAAGCAGAUAGCAAAGUCAAGUCAGUGUUUUCACGGCCCCGGAGGGGAUGAUGGUCACUGGGCUCCCAAGGUGGGGCAAGGCCCUCGGCACCUGAUUAGUCACACCUUGAAAUAGGAUAGCAUCCUCAGCUGCCAACCAGGAAAAGAAAACCUGGAGCCCUGCUCCCAGGGAAAGUAUCCUCACACAGGCAGGUGGGUGUAUUUCUCUCUUUGGUCCAAAGCAAUUGGAAUUUGGUAUCUUUUCCCUUGCCUGGUGGGAACUCAGGUCGGGCAUGCCCAUACAGUAGCAGAGCUGCUGCUCUGAGUCAUGUUUAGGGAGACACAGACAACCUCCCUAUCCAUAGUCAAGGAAUCCCCCACACGAUGGAAUUACCUGGAUAAUGACAGACCUCGGGACCAUCUGACGGCAGAAACCUGACUUCACCAUCUCUCUCUUGAAUUCUAUAGACAGGGUACCCGGGGUCUAGGGAGAGUCACUGAUCAAAGCCACAUGGGGGAGUCAGUGAGAUAAACAAACGAGCACCAUACUCCUGGGUCCUUGGGUACCCAAAUGCAAGCCGCUGGAGGACAGGUGGGUUGCAGAGCAUGUAAUUAGAACAAAGGGCUUUUCUGUAUCAGAAAACCUUGACCUCUGUGAGGUCAAAGUUAAAACCUUCCUUUUGUUUAGACAGAAAAGGGGAAGUGAUGAGGAAAUGUCUUUCUGUAGGCUGUGAAAAUAUGUUGCUCUGAUUGGUUGAUAAAUAAAGCCAUUUGGCCAAUGGUAGGGCAGCUUAGAGGCAGGCAGAAAAUCCAAACAGAUAGACAGGAAGAGCCUUGCCGGGCAUGGUGGUGCACGCCUUUAAUCCCAACACUUGGGAGGCAGAGGCAGGUGGAUCUUUGUGAGUUCGAGGCCAGCCUGGUCUACAAAGGACAGCCAGGACUGUUAACACAGAGAAACUCUGUCUCGAAAAACCCAAAAAAAAACAAAAAACAAAAAAAACCAGAUAGACAGGAAGAGAAAGGAGAGGCAAGGCAGAUGCCAGACGCCACCAAAGGAACAACAUGCUGGCAGACCGGUAAGCCUCGGCCACGUGGCAACUUACAGAUUAAUAGAAAUGGGUUAACUUAAGAUAUAAGAGUUAGAUAGC